UUAGUAUAAGAGGGCUUAUGGUAGGAGAUGAUCGAUAAAUUCGAACGGGUACGCCGGAACUAACAAGUGAUCAUUCAGCUUCCAAGUGAUUCGAACCAAGUAACUACAUAAAAACUACAAAAUGCCGGGACCAGGUUGCGACAAGUGCUCUGAUAAAUGCCAACAAUGUCAAUGUGGCGACAAAUGCAAGUGCUGCGUCUCCUCAUGUGGAGACAAAUGCGCUUGUAAAUCUGGCGGACAGUGUAGUUGUAAGCCCUGUAAAUGCUAAAGUUCAGACAGGACGCUAAUAAAUUGAUCAACACCGAGAAUGGAUGUUGCAAUUUUAGAUGUCAUCAUCUACUUAUGCUUCCCCUACUAUUAUUAUCAUUAAUAUUGCAAAAUUUUAUAGCAAAGAAUAAAUAAUAAUACAUAUUAUAUGAGCAGUCAUUAUGUCACUUAAUAAAAGUAUUAAAAGUUA